rnacentral:lncRNA from 1 species
CGGAUCUACUGCACAAGGGAAGAUGUUCCUGAACAACAUCGCUUCCUCCUGUGGAGAGCCUCAUCCAUUACACUGAGGAUUCUGGGUGUGGAAUUCCUGUUUACUAUCUGUCAGCACUAACAGCCCGCGGCCAAUAAAUCCAUCACGAGCAAGGCCCCUCUCCAUCAAAGUAGCUCUACGCAGACCUUGAAAGAUAGCUUCAAGUUCCUUGCACUUAUCAG